rnacentral:rRNA from 1 species
CAAUAGCGUAUAUUAAAGUUGUUGCAGUUAAAAAGCUCGUAGUUGGAUUUGUGGCGUACGGUGUGUUCCGGGCACUUGUUGUCCGAGUAACCUGCUGUUGCCAUCCUUGGGUGGAACCUGUGUGGCAUUAGGUUGUCGUGCAGGGGAUGCCCAUCAUUUACUGUGAAAAAAUUAGAGUGUUCAAAGCAGGCUUAUGCCGUUGAAUAUAUUAGCAUGGAAUAAUGAGAUAGGACUUUUUUGCUAUUUUGUUGGUUUGCGCAAGAAGGUAAUGAUUAAUAGGGACAGUUGGGGGUAUUCGUAUUCCAUUGUCAGAGGUGAAAUUCUUGGAUUUUUGGAAGACGAACUACUGCGAAAGCAUUUACCAAGGAUGUUUUCAUUAA